CCUACGGGAGGCAGCAGUGGGGAAUAUUGGGCAAUGGGCGCAAGCCUGACCCAGCAACGCCGCGUGAAGGAAGAAGGCUUUCGGGUUGUAAACUUCUUUUCUCAGGGACGAAGCAAGUGACGGUACCUGAGGACUAAGCAACGGCUAACUACGUGCCAGCAGCCGCGGUAAUACGUAGGUGGCAAGCGUUAUCCGGAUUUACUGGGUGUAAAGGGCGUGUAGGCGGGAAAGCAAGUCAGAUGUGAAAACCAUGGGCUCAACCUGUGGCCUGCAUUUGAAACUGUUUUUCUUGAGUACUGGAGAGGCAGACGGAAUUCCUAGUGUAGCGGUGAAAUGCGUAGAUAUUAGGAGGAACACCAGUGGCGAAGGCGGUCUGCUGGACAGCAACUGACGCUGAGGCGCGAAAGCGUGGGGAGCAAACAGGAUUAGAUACCCUAGUAGUC
rnacentral:rRNA from 1 species